UCCAAUUUCUAGGCAAAUUUCAAGCACCCGGACGUUGUUUUCUGUUUUGUUCGCAAGCGCCCGGAAUUACAGCUGCGAGCAGCUUGAUCACAUCCUGGAGUACAGAUUCUCUGGCAAUUCUUGGUCAGCUGCAGAUAAGAUACUGCGGCUUCAGCGCAAUAUCCACCAUUUCCGACCGACUUCAUCUGCAACACCUCCUCCAGUAGUAGAUAAAACUGCUUGAGCGCUGCUUCCAAAAACAUUCCAUUGCACACUUUUAUUUUCUUUCGCACUAUUUGAUUUUUGUUAUUUUAGGCGUAGAAAAAAAUACAGGUUGAAUACCACCCUUAGAGCCCCACAUCCCACUAAUACAACUGCUAGACCGAAGCAACCGCGACGAUUUGCUUGAACUGUCAAACCCGUCAAACCAGGCGUCGUAGAAAUUGAAAUCGCGAAAACUGGUCAAAUUCAUAAAACUAAAGGAAAUCUACACUUUCCACAACCCUCAACAUGAAUCACGAGAAGAAACGCGUUCUAUCGGUAGACUAAACAACAGACAGCUCGUCGAAAAGUAUAUCU